rnacentral:tRNA from 1 species
GGCCCGUUCGUCUAUCGGCUAGGACGCAAGAUUUUCAUUCUUGAAAGACGAGUUCGACUCUCGUACGGGCUACAA